CCUGCCAACCUAGCAGUUCGAAAGCCCGUCAAAGUGCAAGUAGAUAAAUAGGUACCGCUCCGGUGGGAAGGUAAACGGCAUUUCCGUGCGCUGCUCUGGUUCACCAGACGCGGCUUAGUCAUGCUGGCCACAUGACCCAGAAGCUAUACGCCGGUUCCCUCAGCCAAUAAAGCGAGAUGAGCACCGCAACCCAAGAGUCGGUCACGACUGGACCUAAUGGUCAGGGGUCCCUUUACCUUUACCUUUAAUCUCUAACUGCUCUAUUGGAAUUAUACCAGCAAUACAGUUGUGUGUCUUCUGGCUGAAGGUCAACUAGGUGAGUAUCUUGUGCUUGGCUGAGGAGAAAAUAUGUGUUGUGUUCUGCCUGCAACUCUUUGUACAAAGAUUCUUUCAGGUCGCAGUGAGGGGGACCAUUCAAGCACCCUGAGCCCGUUACAGAAAAGGUAGGCUCCAAAUGGAAUAAUACAUCAAAUAUGCAAACUAAAUAUUCCAAAGAGCUUGUAUUGAGCAAUGUUGGUUAUUCAAUCACUUUUUCAGAAGAGCUGCAAACUCGAAAGCCUAAUGCAGUCACUCUCCCUGCUUCUACCUGGAGGGACUUCUAUCUUGUCGGGACACCACUGCAAGGGAGGCCCUUUCCUGUGCCAUCACCACACAAUAAGUUCUGUCCAAGAGCCCACCACACUCAGGGGAAGCCAGCCCCUCCUGCAGAAGUCAGACCAGCAGAAGGAACUUCCAGGCCCAUGAAUUCACACUUCAGAGGGACAAACAAAAAGGUGAAUAUCCCUUGCUUGGCCGGCAAGAAUACUGCUAGCCCAAAAAUGGAAACAAGAAGAAUUACCGUCGAUGGAAGAAUGGAGAAUGAAGUUAAUGGAAUAUGCAGAACUUGACAAAUUAACAGGAAGGAUCCGAGGCCUAUGAGACCACAGAUUCACUGAAGACUGGAGUAAAUUUGUAGACUAUUUGAAAAGUAUUUGCAAUGAACAAUUAACGUUUGUAGGUUUGCAAGAGGCUCUGUGAAAAUAAUAUUAGAAAUAUUGUAAAAAAGGGAAUAAGAGGGAGGAGGCUUUUAAUAAAAGGCAAUAAUAGAUUAAGAAAUGCGGAAGAAGGAUUAAAACGGAGGAUUUGCAGAGGAGCUGAGGGAACUCCAAAAAAUGUAUUUGUGAAAAAUUGUGUUAUGUGUUUUUAUAUUCUUGUAUUGUAAAAUGAAUGAAAUUUUUUUUUUAAAAAAAAGAAUAUCCCUUGCUUGGCAAGGGAUGAAACCUCGAUUCUGUUAUGUCUGCAACUUCAUAACUCUUAAGGGUUUUCUUUUUCCUGAGAGAACAUUCAGUAUUCAGAGUGUUCGCUCAGGUUUUGCUUUUCACCUUGUUGCAUUGCCAAAAAAAGAAAAAGGAAAAAAAGCAAAAG